rnacentral:rRNA from 1 species
UGGGAAUUUUGGACAAUGGGCGCAAGCCUGAUCCAGCAAUGCCGCGUGCAGGAUGAAGGCCUUCGGGUUGUAAACCGCUUUUGUCAGGGAAGAAACGAGUUUCUCUAAUACAGAGACUUAAUGACGGUACCUGAAGAAUAAGCACCGGCUAACUACGUGCCAGCAGCCGCGGUAAUACGUAGGGUGCAAGCGUUAAUCGGAAUUACUGGGCGUAAAGCGUGCGCAGGCGGUUAUGCAAGACAGAGGUGAAAUCCCCGGGCUCAACCUGGGAACUGCCUUUGUGACUGCAUAGAUAGAGUACGGUAGAGGGGGAUGGAAUUCCGCGUGUAGCAGUGAAAUGCGUAGAUAUGCGGAGGAACACCGAUGGCGAAGGCAAUCCCCUGGACCUGUACUGACGCUCAUGCACGAAAGCGUGGGGAGCAAACA